rnacentral:rRNA from 1 species
GUGGGGAAUUUUGGACAAUGGGCGCAAGCCUGAUCCAGUAAUGCCGCGUGCAGGAAGAAGGCCUUCGGGUUGUAAACUGCUUUUGUACGGAACGAAACGGUCCGGGUUAAUACCCUGGGCUAAUGACGGUACCGUAAGAAUAAGCACCGGCUAACUACGUGCCAGCAGCCGCGGUAAUACGUAGGGUGCAAGCGUUAAUCGGAAUUACUGGGCGUAAAGCGUGCGCAGGCGGUUUUGUAAGACAGGCGUGAAAUCCCCGGGCUCAACCUGGGAAUUGCGCUUGUGACUGCAAGGCUAGAGUACGGUAGAGGGGGAUGGAAUUCCGCGUGUAGCAGUGAAAUGCGUAGAUAUGCGGAGGAACACCGAUGGCGAAGGCAAUCCCCUGGACCUGUACUGACGCUCAUGCACGAAAGCGUGGGGAGCAAACAGGAUUAGAUACCCGGGUAGUCC